rnacentral:rRNA from 1 species
CCCUUAGAUGUUCUGGGCCGCACGCGCGCUACACUGAUGCAUUCAACGAGUCUAAAACCUGCUCUGAUAGGGGUGGGUAAUCUUUUGAAUGUGCAUCGUGAUUGGGAUAGAUGAUUGAAAUUUUUCAUCUUCAACGAGGAAUGCCUAGUAAACGCAAGUCAUCAGCUUGCAUUGAUUACGUCCCUGCCCUUUGUACACACCGCCCGUCGCUCCUACCGAUUGAAUGAUCCGAUGAAUAUCAUGGAUUGAGGAUGCAAGUAGGUUCACCUAUCUUCACCUUCGAGAAGUGAAGUAAAUCUUAUCAUUUAGAGGAAGGAGAAGUCGUAACA